rnacentral:rRNA from 1 species
GACGUAGGGCGCAAGCGUUGUCCGGAUUUAUUGGGCGUAAAGAGCUCGUAGGCGGCUCGUUGCGUCGGCUGUGAAAACCCGCAGCUCAACUGUGGGCCUGCAGCCGAUACGGGCGGGCUAGGAUUCGGUAGGGGAGACUGGAAUUCCUGGUGUAGCGGUGAAAUGCGCAGAUAUCAGGAGGAACACCGGUGGCGAAGGCGGCAUCCUGGACUACUACUGACGCUGAGUGAGCGAAAGCCAGGGGAGCAAACGGG